AGGCAUUGUAUAGAGGAACACUGUGAAACUCCCUGCCCUGUUCUGUUUCUCUCUGACCACCGGUGCAUGCAGCCCCUGUCACGUACCCCCUGCUUGCUCAAAUCAAUCACGACGCUUUCAUGUGAAAUCUUUAGUGUUGUGAGCCCUUCAAAGGGACAGAAAUUGUGCACUCGGGGAGCUCGGAUUUUAAGGCAGUAGCUUCCCGAUGCUCCCAGCUGAAUAAAGCCCUUCCUUCUACAACUCGGUGUCUGAGAGGUUUUGUCUGCGGCUCGUCCUGCUACAUUUCUUGGUUCCCUGACUGGGAAGCGAGGUAACUGACGGACGGCUGAGGCAGCCUCUUAGGCGGCUUAGGCCUGCCCUAUGGAGCAUCCCUGCGGGGGACUCCGGCCAGCCUGAGUGACACGAUCCAAAGAGCGGGUAGGCAAUUGUCCCGGUGGAACGCCUCAUCAGAGCAGCGUGUAGCAGGCCCCCGCAGAGGAUUAACAUAGUGGCUGAACACCGGGAAGGAACUGGCACUUGGAGUCCGGACAUCUGAAACUCGGUUGGUCGUGGCAUCUGCAUUCUUGGAAGGUGCAGGCCUGGAUCCAGGCUGAUGGGUGAAGAGGAGGAGUUUCGUGGAACCUGAUGAGAUGAGGCACCUGGGGACAGGUGACCCCAGCGGCUGCCACUGGCAGGAGAGAGCUUCCGAGGAAAGACAUCUGACAUGGCAGGGUGACUGCUGGGACUGUGGGCAAAGCAUGAGCUCAGCGGUGUUCUCAUCCACCCAAUUAGACCCUGCACUUGAUGGAUCAGCUGGUCCCACCCAGAUAAAUAAACCGGCUCAUCGGAUCUUGCGGUCCCCACCCAGAACUGACUCUGCAAGAAGACAGCUUCGACUCCCUAUGAUUUCAUCUCUGACCAAUCAGCACUUCUGGCUCACCCGCUUCCCCGGAUCUGCCAAAUUAUCCUUAAGAAUUCUGCUCCCCAAACGCUCAGGGAGGCUGAUUUGACUUCUUCUAGACAAGAGUGGCCUUGCCUGCCGGAAGCCCUAAAAUUACAGGUGAGCUGGAUCCCGAGAAAUGAAGUCCCUGACUAAUCGCAAGUAAAGACACAGCCAUUUGAUAGUUCUGUUCUGCAUCUUGGAAUGGGUAGAAAUACAAUAAUAGCACCAAACAUGAAUUACGGAAAACAAGAUGUGAUUGGAGACAUUUGCUAAGAGAUGCCAGCCCGGCCUCAGCGAAGUCAAUUCAUCAGCUAUUUUCACUUGGGAAAGAGAACUUAAGGGCGGAGCCGCAGUCCCGGCCAAACCUAACAGUCUAAAAAGCAGACUGUGUGACCUACCAAGGCCUCAGGGCAAUAUUAACUGCAAAUGAGCUCAGCAGGGCGGGGGCCGCCGCACUGUUGUCUGGGGGAAAAGAUGGCAGGGCCACAGCCUCUAAUGUGAAAGCCACCUGCAGGGCCAGAAGGCCUCUCUGGAGGCAGAGGGAUGCAGCAAAGACCACUCGGCUCUGCAGUGAGGGCUGGGCUGGGUGGUGCCACAUGGCUUUCUAAUGGUUACUUACGUCUCCAAGCUUGUUUCCUCAUCUAUAAAAUGAGGCUCAUAGCAUGUGCUAUACAGAGUUUCUGUAAAGAUUAAAAACAAGACAAAGCAAGUACAAGGGCUUUGGAAACUGUAAAAACUCAAUGUCAGAUGUCAUUAUCAUGAAAGAGAAACAAUACUGGUUAAAAA